rnacentral:sRNA from 1 species
AAGCAGAAUCUACUUCAAUUUUUAGUUUAUUAAAAGAGUCAAAAUGUUGUGUAAAUCUGUGAAAAAUUCUUUGAAUAUACAUGUUAGAAAGUGAGGAACAUAUAUGUGUCCAAUUUUUUUUCUUCAGAAUACUGUGUAGACAUUAAAUUAAUUUAUAUUCAUAACUCCAAAUUAAAAGAAAAUGUAUAGUUUUAAUUCCAUGUGAUGUUUACAUCUGCAUAAAUUGAACAAGGUCCCAAUUUGGCACUGUUUCUAACGAGAUCAGUACAUGGACCUCGAUUUUGUUUUGAAACUUGUGUUGUUUUAUUCUUCUUUCUUAGUGCCUUAAUUACACUCUGUUCCGAGUUUUUGCUUCCACCACUUUUUGCUUAAUAUUUCGAUAAUCAUAUAUACCUUUGUGCUCAAACUACGUUCAUCCACUAAUAUGAAGAAUGACCAGGUUAUCUGUUUUGAACCCCCCCCCACCACUUCAGGUUUCAAUACACAUCUAAAAAUAGAAAGUCUACGGGGAUCAUUGACUUGAAUUUGUUUAUUUUCCGAAAAAUGUUGUCACCAACAAUAAAAAGAAGA